GUAACACUGUAAAUGUGUGUGUGUGUGUGUGUGUGUUAGGACCAAAGCACCUCAACAAAAUAAUUCAGAUAGAAAAAAGACCAGCUACCUGAGAUUUCACUACUUUCCACUGAAGGUUUCAUCACAACAUUGAUUGAAAUGGUUCAGAUUGCAAAGGCAAUAGUCUUUCUCUGCAUGCUGAUUGGAUGGUCACAGGCUUUUCCACACCGUGAUGUUGUCGUCAGUGAGAAUGAAGCAAUGAAAGAUGCUGACAUGGUAACAGAUUUUACUCCACCAGUGUGUCGUGUGGUAAAUGAGAGUUCAGACUGUCUUUUGUCAUGUGGAAAUACAAUCUUGGAAGUGACUUAUAUUAUGUCAGAUGGCAACGGUUCAGGAAUUGAUCACACCCAAAUUAAUUCUUUUGGUGCGGGUUUUAGCAACAUAACUCAAUAUGAUGGUCUAGAUGAAAAUGGCUACAAUGCAACCCUUUUGCAUUAUUCUGGUAUCUGCUGCCUUGAAGAUUUGGAAGUUGCUGCAGUGGACAAGGCAGGAAACAAGGGGAAGUGUCCUGUAGUUGUCAAACGUGUUACGACCACAGCCAGUCAUUUCAAGACAAUACAUUUUUAGUACAGUUAAAGUACUUGAUGUUAAUGACUUGGUGUAUUGAAUGGUACAUGAAAAAAAUGAUUGCAAGGUUCAUUUAAAGCAAGUGCAUGGUAACUAAAUUUCACAGAUAGCUUUUAUUUACUUAAAUAUCCUUGUGAUAAGGAUGUGACAUGUAAAGGUGAUGCUAAUUUCCUGAUAUAAUUAAGGGGGAAAAAACACUCAUUAAAAGAUUUAAGUUUAUUAAUUCCUUUUAAAUUCAUCUUAUAAGUUCUAAGAUGUUCAAAAAUAAUCUAAAUGUGAAUGCAAGUGUCCGGGUGACAAACAAUAAACCUUCAAUGUUGCUCAAGACAAUUUGCAUUUAUAAGACACAUUUCUCCCCGGUGACCUGAAUCAGCACAAGUCUGUCAGUUUUGACGCAGCACUUUUGAAGGCAAGUACUUACAAAAUAUAUUAGCAUUCCAAUUCAGUCCACAUGAUGUCCACAAAAGAUAACGCUUUCAACAAUUGUAUAGUAGUAGUAAUUUAGUCAUUUAAAGUUAUAACUGAAUUGAUACUGUAAUAUAAAUCUUGGAAUGAGAAUAAACUGACACAUAAAACAUAAACACAACAAGUUUAU